rnacentral:rRNA from 1 species
UACGUAGGGUGCAAGCGUUGUCCGGAAUCAUUGGGCGUAAAGCGCGCGUAGGUGGCUUCGUAAGUCCGUUGUGAAAGUCAAAGGCUCAACCUUUGAAAAGCCGAUGGAUACUGCGGAGCUAGAGUACGGAAGAGGCGAGUGGAAUUCCUGGUGUAGCGGUGGAAUGCGCAGAUAUCAGGAGGAACACCAAUAGCGAAGGCAGCUCGCUGGGACGUUACUGACACCGUAAGGCGCGAAAGCGUGGGGAGCGAACAGG